rnacentral:rRNA from 1 species
CCUACGGGAGGCAGCAGUGAGGAAUAUUGGUCAAUGGACGAGAGUCUGAACCAGCCAAGUAGCGUGAAGGAUGACUGCCCUAUGGGUUGUAAACUUCUUUUAUAUGGGAAUAAAAUGUUCCACGUGUGAGAUUUUGUAUGUACCAUAUGAAUAAGGAUCGGCUAACUCCGUGCCAGCAGCCGCGGUAAUACGGAGGAUCCGAGCGUUAUCCGGAUUUAUUGGGUUUAAAGGGAGCGUAGGUGGAUUGUUAAGUCAGUUGUGAAAGUUUGCGGCUCAACCGUAAAAUUGCAGUUGAAACUGGCAGGCUUGAGUACAGUAGAGGUAGGCGGAAUUCGUGGUGUAGCGGUGAAAUGCUUAGAUAUCACGAAGAACUCCGAUUGCGAAGGCAGCUCACUGGACUGCAACUGACACUGAGGCUCGAAAGUGUGGGUAUCAAACAGGAUUAGAUACCCUAGUAGUC